GAUGAAGAACGCAGCGAAAUGCGAUAAGUAAUGUGAAUUGCAGAAUUCAGUGAAUCAUCGAAUCUUUGAACGCACAUUGCGCCCGCCAGUAUUCUGGCGAGCAUGUCUGUUCGAGCGUCAUUUCAACCAUCAAGCCCCAGGCUUGUGUUGGAGCCCUGCGGCUGCCGCAGCCUCCCAAAACCAGUGGCGGGCUCGCUAUCACACCGAGUGCAGUAGUUUACUCUUCGCUCAGGGCGUGUGGCGGGUGCUAGCCGUGAAACCCCCAACUUCUCAAGGUUGACCUCGGAUCAGGUAGGAAUACCCGCUGAACUUAAGCAUAUCAAUAAGCGGAGGA
rnacentral:misc_RNA from 1 species